AACGAACGCUGGCGGCAGGCCUAACACAUGCAAGUCGAACGCUCGUAGCAAUACGGGAGUGGCAGACGGGUGAGUAACGCGUGGGAAUCUACCCAGUGGUACGGAAUAACUCAGGGAAACUUGAGCUAAUACCGUAUGAGCCCCGAGGGGGAAAGAUUUAUCGCCAUUGGAUGAGCCCGCGUCGGAUUAGCUAGUUGGUGGGGUAAUGGCCUACCAAGGCAACGAUCCGUAGCUGGUCUGAGAGGAUGAUCAGCCACAUUGGGACUGAGACACGGCCCAAACUCCUACGGGAGGCAGCAGUGGGGAAUAUUGGACAAUGGGCGCAAGCCUGAUCCAGCCAUGCCGCGUGAGUGAUGAAGGCCCUAGGGUUGUAAAGCUCUUUCGGCGGGGACGAUAAUGACGGUACCCGCAGAAGAAGCCCCGGCUAACUUCGUG
rnacentral:rRNA from 1 species